rnacentral:rRNA from 1 species
UACGUAGGGUGCGAGCGUUGUCCGGAAUUAUUGGGCGUAAAGAGCUCGUAGGCGGUGUGUCGCGUCGGCCGUGAAAACCUGCAGCUUAACUGUGGGCUUGCGGUCGAUACGGGCAUCACUGGAGUUCGGCAGGGGAGACUGGAAUUCCUGGUGUAGCGGUGAAAUGCGUAGAGAUCAUGAGGAAGACCAGUGGCGAAGGCGGGUCUCUGGACAGUUCCUGACACUGAGACACGAAGGCCAGGGGAGCAAACGGG